UCCGGGCGGCAGCUAACACAUGCAAGUCGAACGGUAGCACAGAGAGCUUGCUCUCGGGUGACGAGUGGCGGACGGGUGAGUAAUGUCUGGGAAACUGCCCGAUGGAGGGGGAUAACUACUGGAAACGGUAGCUAAUACCGCAUAACGUCGCAAGACCAAAGUGGGGGACCUUCGGGCCUCACACCAUCGGAUGUGCCCAGAUGGGAUUAGCUAGUAGGUGGGGUAAUGGCUCACCUAGGCGACGAUCCCUAGCUGGUCUGAGAGGAUGACCAGCCACACUGGAACUGAGACACGGUCCAGACUCCUACGGGAGGCAGCAGUGGGGAAUAUUGCACAAUGGGCGCAAGCCUGAUGCAGCCAUGCCGCGUGUAUGAAGAAGGCCUUCGGGUUGUAAAGUACUUUCAGCGGGGAGGAAGGCGGUGGAGUUAAUAGCUUCACCGAUUGACGUUACCCGCAGAAGAAGCACCGGCUAACUCCGUGCCAGCAGCCGCGGUAAUACGGAGGGUGCAAGCGUUAAUCGGAAUUACUGGGCGUAAAGCGCACGCAGGCGGUCUGUCAAGUCGGAUGUGAAAUCCCCGGGCUUAACCUGGGAACUGCAUUCGAAACUGGCAGGCUAGAGUCUUGUAGAGGGGGGUAGAAUUCCAGGUGUAGCGGUGAAAUGCGUAGAGAUCUGGAGGAAUACCGGUGGCGAAGGCGGCCCCCUGGACAAAGACUGACGCUCAGGUGCGAAAGCGUGGGGAGCAAACAGGAUUAGAUACCCUGGUAGUCCACGCCGUAAACGAUGUCGACUUGGAGGUUGUUCCCUUGAGGAGUGGCUUCCGGAGCUAACGCGUUAAGUCGACCGCCUGGGGAGUACGGCCGCAAGGUUAAAACUCAAAUGAAUUGACGGGGGCCCGCACAAGCGGUGGAGCAUGUGGUUUAAUUCGAUGCAACGCGAAGAACCUUACCUACUCUUGACAUCCAGAGAACUUAGCAGAGAUGCUUUGGUGCCUUCGGGAACUCUGAGACAGGUGCUGCAUGGCUGUCGUCAGCUCGUGUUGUGAAAUGUUGGGUUAAGUCCCGCAACGAGCGCAACCCUUAUCCUUUGUUGCCAGCGGUCCGGCCGGGAACUCAAAGGAGACUGCCAG
rnacentral:rRNA from 1 species